rnacentral:tRNA from 1 species
CAGCGGGUAGUCGAACUUGUGCAUGUCGACGAACUUGGCCUGCUUGCCCACCGGGUCGGUGCUGAUGCCGACCCGGCUGGC